GAUGAACGCUGGCGGCGUGCUUAACACAUGCAAGUCGAACGAUGAAGCCCAGCUUGCUGGGUGGAUUAGUGGCGAACGGGUGAGUAACACGUGAGUAACCUGCCCUUAACUCUGGGAUAAGCCUGGGAAACUGGGUCUAAUACCGGAUAGGAGCGUCCACCGCAUGGUGGGUGCUGGAAAGAUUUAUCGGUUUUGGAUGGACUCGCGGCCUAUCAGCUUGUUGGUGAGGUAAUGGCUCACCAAGGCGACGACGGGUAGCCGGCCUGAGAGGGUGACCGGCCACACUGGGACUGAGACACGGCCCAGACUCCUACGGGAGGCAGCAGUGGGGAAUAUUGCACAAUGGGCGCAAGCCUGAUGCAGCGACGCCGCGUGAGGGAUGACGGCCUUCGGGCUGUAAACCUCUUUCAGUAGGGAAGAAGCGAAAGUGACGGUACCUGCAGAAGAAGCACCGGCUAACUACGUG
rnacentral:rRNA from 1 species